AUAUAUGAUGACUUACACUGGAAUCUUGUUCUGCUGAUGAGUUGCUGUUAAGACUUAAAGCAUCCUG
rnacentral:snoRNA from 1 species